CACCCUAGUGAUUAGGAUUCAACUGGCCUGGGGUAGGGCCUGGGCAUCAUGUUUUAAAAGCUCCUCAGAUGAAUCUCAUGUGUAGUUAGGUUGGCAACCAGGGUGCAGGUGCUGGGGCCACAGCCCUGAGUGACACGGACACGUCCUUGCCCUUGUGAAGGCACCAUUGAGGGAGACAGUGGACAAUCAAGUGAGACAAGUGUCACAAGAAAGGCCAGAAGAUCACAGGAGCAUAGAAAGGGCACCUGGGUGGCCUGGGGGCUGGGAGAAAACUUCCCUGAGGAAGCGAUGCAAAUGCAGAGGCCUGAGGGAUACGGGUAACUUAGCAAGGUGAAGAGAGUGUCAGGGAAGAACAUUCCACACAGAGGGGAGACGAGAUGCAAAAGCCCCAAGGCAGGAGGCUGCAGAAAAUUUUCAAUUACCUAAAAGAUGACCCUGGAAUCAGGGUGGAAGAUGAGGGAAGCAGUGGCACCUGAUGUGUGAAGCUACUGGAAUUUGGGACUUGUUUGUCACUGCAGCAUCAUCCUGGCCUUGCUGACUGAUACAGAGGUUAUAAUAGAAAGACAGAGGGCCAAGUCCAGCCUGGAUUCAGCUAGGAGGGUGGGCACGUUGGGAGAAUGUGGAGGUGCCAACGGUGUUGAGGAUGCUUUAAGAACAAUCUGGCUGGAAGAGGAGCCAGCUAGGAUAGCCAGCCAGGCAGCCCUGGAUAGCAGUAUUUUUAAGCCUCUCUAUACAUCCUGCCAAACUGCCUCCUGCCACUAGCAUCGUAUGGGGACAGACCUGAGUAAAUGCUAUCUCUGAACGGGGGGGGGGGGGGGCAGGGACCGAGGGCCACAGGCAGAGGGAGGUGCGGCCCUCUCAGAGCUUCUCGUUCUGCCUGGCCCACGGCAGGCACUGAAAUGGUCACUGCAUGAAUAAACAAAUCUACAAACAUGUAUGUCUGCACUCCUAUCACAUGUCCAACACAAGGGACAAGGAGAGAGAAGGAAAAGAAAAAGCAAGGCAUCAUGGGAUGAAAGGCACUAAUGGGGUGUGCAGGAGUCAAAAUUAAAUUCACCCACAUACAACGCGGCAAGUUUUCUUAGGAAAAUCUGACCCCCUCUUGCACUGAGGUCUGGAGAUCGGCCUCCUCUGCAGGCCAGUCUCGAUCUGAUUCAAUUCCAAAAUCCAGGCAGCUAGGAAGAUGCAGGGGGGGACACUGGCUGUGUUAUGAAGUGCCGGUCCCCAAGUGUUGCCCAGGGAAGGGCAGCAACAUUACCUAAGGAAACAGGGAGGGCUCUCACAGCUGCUUCUCUGCCCAGGAGCCGGUGGACAAAGAGCGGACCUCUGCCACAGAGAUGAAGGCAGUUCCCGGGCCCAGCAGUGGGACGUGCUGUCACUCCAUUGGGAUGAUUUUCCAUAAGCGACUCCUGGUUGUUACUUGGAUUCUAAACCGGCAGGAGCAGCCCCUACGGGCAGAGAUGGGCUGAGCGGGGGCUGCAAGGGGGCUAUGGGUGCACAAAGGUGUAUGGGCGGGAUGGAACUGAUGCAUCUGUCCUGCGGGCCCCAGGGGCUGUGUGGCCAGGGAGGGAGGGAGGGCAUGACAUCACAGUCACCCUGGCAGAAAAGCCAGGUCUGUGAGGUCAUGGAGCUCUGGGGCCCUUCUCCUCUGCCUUGGGCACUGUGUUUUGUUUUGUUUUUGUUUUUGCUUUUUGGUGUUUUUUGCCUUCAAAGAGGAAGGAAUGGAUGAAUAGGCAAGAGAAGAACAGAGGGGAGGAGGCUGGGAAGCCAGCCCACCACUCUCCCGUAUUUGGGAGUCGAUACGCCCUCCUCCACUCCCCGUGACCCUUGCUAGUGAGGAUGGACUGAGCAAAGGAGCCUUCAGAGUCAUAGGACACACUCCCAAAACGGAUGCCAGGGCAUCAGCUCUGGGUCUGGAGAAGAGGACUUUCCUGCAAGGGACACUGGUUGUCCAUUCCGGAAGAGAAGACUCCCCACGGCCUGUUCUGUGCCGGCUCUCACCGACUGAGAAACACUCCAAAUUUGUGCCCAAGUCUAUACGGAGAAGCACGUAAAAGUUCUUGUCCCUGUUCUUUUCAUCAUAAAUCCUACUACAAGGACAACCGAAGGGAAAUUAUCCUACAUUUUCAUUUAAAAAUCUGGGGAGGGGAGGAAAGAGGAAACUCCUUUGCAAUCAGAUUUUCCCACAUUCACAUUUAUCCCUUAUUAACCAUUAAUGGCUCAUUCAUCACGCUGUAGAACUAUUGUGCAAAGAUGCAUACAUUUACCCCA